CGGCGUCUACGGCGCGGCGGUGGCCGCCGCGCUGACGCGGCGGGGCGCCCGGGUCACCGUCGUGGACGCCGGC
rnacentral:tRNA from 1 species